rnacentral:tRNA from 1 species
UGGGAUGUAGCCAAGUGGUAAGGCAGUUGGUUUUGGUCCAGCCAUUCGUGGGUUCGAAUCCUACCAUCCCAGCCA